rnacentral:rRNA from 1 species
GGCUCCUUGUAAUUACUGUAGAUGGGGAGUCGGACCUGCCCGGUGAUAUUAUUUAACGGCCGCGGUACCCUGACCGUGCGAAGGUAGCAUAAUCAUUUGCCUUAUAAUUGAAGGCUUGUAUGAAUGGUUUGACUUGAGCAAAGCUGUCUCUUUAUAAUUUUGUAGAAUUUUAUUUUUAGGUGAAGAAGCCUAGAUAAAAUUAAUAGACAAGAAGACCCUAUCGAGCUUUAAAGAAAUUAAUAGAAUUAUAUUAUUAAUAUAUAUAAAAAAUUGACUAUUAAAAAUUUUAGUUGGGGCGACUGAGGAACAAAUAAAGCUUCCUAUAUUUAAUAGAUGUUCAUAUGUUGAUCCAAGCUUUUUGAUUAAAGAAAUUAGUUACCGUAGGGAUAACAGCAUUAUUCUCUUUGAGAGUUCUUAUCGAAAAGGGGGUUUGUGACCUCGAUGUUGGACCAGAAUAUCCUAAAGAUGCAGAAGUCUUUGAGGGUUGGUCUGUUCGACCAUUAAAAUUCU